CUCAAAGUAUUCAUUUGCAACCUUUUCUACUAACAAAGCAGACAGUCAAAGUUCAUAUAACAGGAAUUUCUUUACUGUUGUAGACAAAAGCCUGAUGUUCUAUUUCUGAAGUCACCUUCUACUCUUUGGGAAUUUUGAGGAAAGACUCAGGGGAACAAAGAGAAAUUACCUGGAUGAUCUUGCCUCUAGCAGUCUCAGGCAAAAGGCUAACCAUCUUACAUGUUUAUGUCAAACAAUAAUCCCAGAUGGCAAAAAUUUAAGAUGUUACUUGAAGGAAUUUCUGGAUCCCUACUCUAAACCCAAUCUUGAAGAUACCACAGAAAGGAGAAGGAAAAUGAUGGAUCUAAAAAAAAUAUUGAAAAAAUGGAAGAGUUCCUGGAGUGAGUUCCAGCUGAAGUAA
rnacentral:lncRNA from 1 species